CCAACAGUUUCAGAGCGUUGUGUGGAGAGGGCCAGGCAGAGCGGGCGAUUGAAAAUCUGCAGGCCGGCUGAGAGCUGCUAAACCGGGGCUAGAGGAGCAGCGAGCAGCGCCCCAGCUUCGGACAAAUAAAUACCCGUGGUCGGACUGGACUUUGCUCGCAACUACGCCGUUUGGUCGACGGAGGAGCUCGGAGUAAACUGCUUUUAUUAAAUUAGCUUUUUACUUUAGUUUUUAGGAUUACAAAGUUGAUUUAUCUUCUGUCGAGCUUCUCAGCAGCUAGAUUCCGUGCACAACCGGUUCCGGUGUUGUUAACGUCGUUUGGCACUACUUCAUAUUUAUAUAAAAACCGGACAAAACUGGACAUUGCUGGGAGAAAAGAAAGCAACUGUGGGACCUGUUGAUGCCAACAAUCAAACUGGAGUCCAGGAUAACCAAACAGUGGGGAGACAUUGGAUUCCAAGGAGAUGACCCCAAGACUGACUUCAGAGGAAUGGGCAUGCUGGGCCUUAUCAACCUUGUGAGCAUGGCUUGUUCUCUAGACAUGCAGGAACAAAGGCGUCACUCUGGUCCUGCUGCUGGAACAUCCCAUCAGACACGGCCUCCUCGGCAGUUUGGGGAUCGGUGGCAUCUCUUAAAUGCAGGCUUGGCUCUGAUUUACCCUCCAUGUUGUGGUCCCUUCUGCCAGAGGAGAAAAGCUUUCCCACCUCUCCCAUUUCCAGCAGCAGACUGGUAACUGUUGCUGUGGCAUGAUAGAGCUCCUGUUCUGCAACAUCCUCACUGAACAUGCUGUACAGGGUCUUGCAAAGUUCGAUAAACUGGCUCUGGAGGAGGAAAUAAAACGUAAGAUGUCAGUUGUACUCUAUUGUAACUACUGAGUUUCUUAGACACGUUCUACAAAUAAAAACCAAUGCAGAGGGUGAAGUCUUACCUGAUUCAGCUUGGGGAGGUCUUUUGUGUUUUCUCUCUUAGGUUUUGUCUCCUGGUUCCACAGUUUCAGGUAAUGGCGAUAUUCAGGAGUGUUCAGUUUCUUCACUGUAACAUGUACAUAGAAUGUUUUAUUAACAUUAAGUAAUUUGGUCACAAACUUAUAUUUUGGUUUAAAAAAAAAAAAGCACGAAGAUGCAACCAAUGUCUGCAUGUUUUUGUAUUGCGAUUAAAGACAAGAUCUUUUCCGCGGUAAAUACAAACUACGGAUUGACUUCAGUAUUUUGCCAAAUAGCUACAGCUUGUUUGUGCUAGCACCAUGUAUAUUUUCUGUAUUCACAUGUUUCUUCAGAUGUUCCAGAGGAAAUAAGACCCUUUACCACCACGAUCAAUCGCAUUCAGUCAGUGAAAAAAUAAAAAAUAGACGACAA